rnacentral:rRNA from 1 species
UGUGUAGGCGGGACGGUAAGUCGGGCGUGAAAUCCCACGGCUCAACCGUGGAACUGCUCCCGAUACUGCCGACCUUGAGUACGGGAUAGGAGAGUGGAACUCACGGUGUAGCGGUAAAAUGCGUAGAUAUCGUGAGGAACACCGGUGGCGAAGGCGGCUCUCUGGCCCGAUACUGACGCUGAGACACGAAAGCCAGGGUAGCGAACG